rnacentral:rRNA from 1 species
CCUACGGGAGUCUGCAGUAGGGAAUUUUUCACAAUGGGCGAAAGCCUGAUGGAGCAAUGCCGCGUGAAUGAUGAAGGUCUUAUAGAUUGUAAAAUUCUUUUAUUUGGGAAGAAAACCUAAAGGAGGAAAUGACUUGAGUCUGACUGGUCCAUUUGAAGAAGAAUGGGCUAACAAUGUGCCAGCAGCCGCGGUAAUACAUAGGAUGCAAGCGUUAUCCGGAUUUACUGGGCGUAAAACGAGCUCAGGCGGGUUAACACGUUUGGUCUGAAAGGCUUUUGGUUAACGAAAGUUUGUAUCAAAAACUGUUGAUCUGGCGUGUAGUAGCGCGGUCUGGAAUACCAGGUGGAGCGGUGGAAUGCGUAGAUAUAUGGAAGAACACCUGUGGCGACGGCGAGAACUUAGGCUAUCACUGACGCUUCGGCUCGAAAGUGUGGGGAGCAAAUAGGAUUAGAUACCCCGGUAGUC